AUGAAGCAACAGAACAUGACCCAUGCUGCAAUACAUAAAAAGUAUAUUGAGUCGACAGACAAAUCUCUUGUCAAGAUAACAAGUAACUUUUGAUAUACAUCAAAUAUUUGAUAAUACUGGAAGGGUGUGUUACUGCUGAAUAACGCCAAAAACACGGUAAUGCGAGCAUUGGUAGGUGGCAGAGCUUAAAUGACGGCCACCAACGGAAGUUGAAGCUGACCUUACAACUUGCGAGCUACAGCGGAUGCUGAGAAAGAAGUAAACAACACACCACAAAAGUAUGACAGAAUUAUGAUGUGGCCACAGAGGUGCAAGACAGGAAAAGUACUGCUGCAGAACAAGACAAGGAAGAGAAACCUACUAUAAUUAAUUUAGGCAAUUUAACUUUAGUUAAUUAAAUUUGUGAUGCCUAAUACAAUACAGAAGUUUAGCUUGAACAUCAGCUGAAUAUUGUGAUGCCGUAA